CGCACCUUGCACCUCUCAGUCUUCUGAAAGGUACACCUGUUUGAGUGUCAUUAAUAUCAUCCACCCUGUGCUUGUUUGCACAGAGAUGGGAACUUGGGAGCUUUGCAGUAAGUCCUUGGACUUCUGCUCUCCUUGAAUGCAUCAGUGAGAAGUGGCAAAAGAAAUAGGGGGUUGACGUGAUAACAUAACCAAACGUCUCUCAACCCUGCAUGUUCUUUGUUCAAUCGUCUUCUUGCUUUCAAACCACACCUCCUCCUGUCAUCCAAUUUGUGCGACGCAUGAAUGGUGGGGGGGACUGUAACAUACAUGACUCUUGAUCUCAAAUCAGGUGGGAUUACCCGCUGAACUUAA
rnacentral:misc_RNA from 1 species